GUUUCCGUAGCGUAGUGGUUAUCAUGUUCGCCUAACACGUGAAAGGUCCCUGGUUUGAAGCCGGGUGGAAACA
rnacentral:tRNA from 1 species